UNGGAGAGGAAAGUGGAAUUCNUAGUGUAGCGGUGAAAUGCGUAGAUAUUAGGAAGAACACCNGUGGCGAAGGCGACUUUCUGGACGAAAACUGACGCUGAGGCGCGAAAGCCAGGGGAGCGAACGGGAUUAGAUACCCCGGUAGUCCUGGCUGUAAACGAUGGGUACUAGGUGUAGGAGGUAUCGACCCCUUCUGUGCCGGAGUUAACGCAAUAAGUACCCCGCCUGGGGAGUACGACCGCAAGGUUGAAACUCAAAGGAAUUGACGGGGGCCCGCACAAGCGGUGGAGUAUGUGGUUUAAUUCGACGCAACGCGAAGAACCUUANCAGGUCUUGACAUUGAUGGACAGAACUAGAGAUAGUUCCUCUUCUUCGGAAGCCAGAAAACAGGUGGUGCACGGUUGUCGUCAGCUCGUGUCGUGAGAUGUUGGGUUAAGUCCCGCAACGAGCGCAACCCCUAUCUUAUGUUGCCAGCACUUCGGGUGGGAACUCAUGAGAGACUGCCGCAGACAAUGCGGAGGAAGGCGGGGAUGACGUCAAAUCAUCAUGCCCCUUAUGACCUGGGCUACACACGUACUACAAUGGGAGUUAAUAGACGGAAGCGAAACCGCGAGGUGGAGCAAACCCGAGAAACACUCUCUCAGUUCGGAUCGUAGGCUGCAACUCGCCUACGUGAAGUCGG
rnacentral:rRNA from 1 species